ensembl:lncRNA
GGGGCCUCAAGAUAGGGCCUGCUCCACAGGGGCAAGGGAAAGCCAGGAGGAUGCCAGGCAUAGAGACACGGGAAAGACACGGGCCUGAGCAGAAAGGUCCUUUGAGGCCACUGUCUGGAUAUGCUCAGUGUCCAGCACACACGGUGGAGGAGCCAGAACGCAAGCAGGAGGCCUGUUGUCCUGGCAACGGCCGCUGCUGUUUCCCAGCCUGCUCCUUCAGGCCUCUGCACAAACACCAGCCUCUUGCAGGUGCUCCUGGGCCUCUUCACAGUUGAUGUAGGUACUGAGCACGUCUUCAACUGUCACCUAACAGAGCUUUUUUUUCUGCCAUUUCCUCCGCAAACUGUGACGCGUCCAGACUUUGGGAAGCAUCCUCCCCCAGCCUAUGAGGUCCACCUGCAACCCAUCAUCCCCCAAACUCGUUGAGAAGCUGCUCUCCAGGGAGAAAGCUGGGCACACUGGUGCACCAUCUCGUGGCCUCCCAGAGUGGUCCCAGCUGCUGUAGGGCAAGUGCGUCAAGCGCGUUCAACCACAGAGGGCCUGCCAGGGACCUUCUAAGGCCGCGACCGCAGCCUGACAUUAAGAAGAUGCUCUUCAGUGACUGCAGGACCAAACUGUGACCACUGGGUGAAGUUUCCCACCCAGCGGUUUCGCCUACAGCAAACCACACUUUAAUGAGCUCUGGCUGGGUCCGUGAUGUGCCGCCCGUUCAAUCCCCGGCGUCCUUCUGGCCUUCCCUACUGAAGGAGCUAGUGGCCGAGGGUUCUGCCUCUGUCCGCAGCCGCGGCCCGCACACCUGCCCAGGUGGACUCGGGGCGCCCUCUCCUGGCCUGGCGUGGCCGCGUCCUGCGCAGCUGCAGCCCCGCAGCUCCCGGGGCCUGGGGAUGGCCUGUGGGCGUGUCCGCCCGGGAGCCCAGCCCGGGAGCCUCCGACAGCUUGCAGCAGGGGACACUGCGGUCACAGACGCUUCUCCUGCCCUGCCCGUGCCCCCCCCCACCCCGUCCACUCCUGCCCGCCCACGCUGGGGCCGCCACACCUGCUCCUCUGGCCUCAUCUGCCUGCUGGACCUGCUCCACCCAUAGGACAAGAGCCCCCACUUGGUCGGCAGGUGUGCGACGCGGGGGCUGCCCCCGCAGACGGCCCGUGCUGCCUCGGUCCUCCUGUCUUCCCCAUCCGACUCACGCAAGGACGGCUGGGUCUCCUCGUCGUGGGGGAGGACUUGUGGCUGCCGGUGAAGACCAGCUCUCCCCCAGACCCCGACCCCCUCCCUGUUCUCCUGCCCGCCCCUCCCCACAGCUCUGCCCCAGAUGCUGCGGCCAGGGUCAGCUGUACUGACUCAGUGACUGCUGCCGGGUCCCCUGCUCAUGGUGCUGACGUCCCUCCUCUGUCUGCCUCCAGCUCCCUGCCCUGCCUGCUGCUCCGUGUGAGAGCCUUGGGGAUGCCCACACACUCAUUCACCCCGAUCUCUGUGCCAAAUCCAUCAUCGUCCAGAAUUCACCUGCAAGGCCAGUCCAUCCAGAGAUUCUGACUCAGCGGUUGGAGCGGAGCCCGUUUAUCUGUCUUUAAUCCAGAUUCUGAUGAAGAGCCAAGACGCAGAGCCAUGGUCUUGUUUUGAAUUUUUCCUCCCUGAGCCAGCAAAGGGCACACCCAGAAGGAUCGAUAGGAGGGUAUGUUUGAUGGGCUCUACAAACCUUAUUCUCAUUACCUUAAAGAUGCAGAUAAUAACCAGAAGUCCUCGGGCUGCUGUGGGGCCGAAGGGACCUGGUCCAGACGCUUUGCACACACGUGCAGUUCCCCCAACAGCGUACGGCCAGCCCUGCUGCUGCUGUGAUUUUACCGUGACCGCCGGUGCUCUGCCCAGGGGUGUCUGACUCACCCAAGUGUGUCCGGUUGCACUGAGCGCCGGGCACAGAGGGAAAUGGCAUGGAAGCGAUUUCAUCACCCAGUGGCUUAACUGUGAACACUUCCCUUUCUGGAAAAGAAAAGCUUUCCUACCACACUAACUCCACUCGCAGGACAGACAAUGGCCUCCCCGCAGGAGGACACCAUACUGGAGGCCCACACCAGCUCUCUGCCACCCUGUGUCCUCUACCUACCUGAUGAUGCUGAGCGAGCGAGGGAGGGAGGUGCUGGCGCGUGGCGGGGGGGGGCGGCAGGGGAGGAUGAGGCUCAGAACAUCCCAGGUGAGCUGCUAAAAGUCGCACAAGCAGGAAGUGGAAGAAUUAAAGCUUGAGCCGAGUUAGUAUCAUUCCAAGUGCAGUAUUCUUGCCCCUUUCAACACAAAUGACCCCAACAAUGAUCCUGUUAAUGUGAUCAGUGUGUCAACCUCCAUCCUGCUCACCAGCAUUCACAAAUGCACAUGGACAGGAAUCCUGCCUUUGUUCACGUGAACCCGAUGAGCCACGUGCCCCUGGGCUUAGGGCACCCUGCCUCCUCUGCUGGGUCCCGGUCCCCAUUAGCAAACUGACUCCUCCUCCCAGAUCCCAGCACACGUUGAUGCGUCCAGGCGGCUUCCCUGUGACCUACGU